rnacentral:rRNA from 1 species
ACUUCGGUCAAGUUGAACGGAUGACUUAGUGGCGGACGGGUGAGUAACGCGUGAGGAACCUGCCUUUCAGUGGGGGACAACAGUUGGAAACGACUGCUAAUACCGCAUAAUGUAUUCUGACCGCAUGAUCGGAAUACCAAAGAUUUAUUGCUGAAAGAUGGCCUCGCGUCUGAUUAGCUAGUUGGUGAGGUAACGGCCCACCAAGGCGACGAUCAGUAGCCGGACUGAGAGGUUGAACGGCCACAUUGGGACUGAGAUACGGCCCAGACUCC